GAGAAGGCUGUGAGGCAAGGGACAGGACUGGUCUUAUUUAAUUUAUCCUGGACUUUUAGGGUUUUGAGAACUAGACCCAUCCCUAUAGAAGGGACUGAAAUUUUAUCUCUGUGGGGAGUUGUAUUUAAUGCCCUGGGUGGGGUGUCUCUCAUCUCCAAUCAAUACCUGCUGAGUUUAGGGGUUUUGGAAGUCCGGGAACCAGAGAGAAUUGAGGCCUGGCCAGUUGGAAUCACAGGACCGAAAGGAGCCUGGUGCUUCAUAAGCAGAGACAGAAAAUACAGCGCCAGUGAAAAUGUAAACUCUCUCUCAAGGAUUUAUAAAGGGGCUAAGGCACAGUCCAUUGGAGUCAAUGGGAGCCUUUGCAUAGACUUCAGUGGGCUUUGGAUCAAGCCCUUGAGCUUCUUGGCAAGGAAGAAACAAGAGACCCACCACAAUGUCUAUUUUCUCUGCUGCUUGAGAUUGUUCUGCAUUCAAAGCCUUCCUCUACUGGUGCACACAAGGAAACAGCCAGCCAGCAGUGGUUAUUUUGAAGGGGGUGGGAGUAAAUUACUGGGGGGAAAAAUCAAACUAUCAAGACAUUGUUCGUUCUUCAUGAUCCCUUCCGUGGAGAAUUAUUUUCUCCCCACUCCUUGUUGUUAUUUUAACUCUAGCUCUUUGGGAUGGGGCUGUGCCUUCCAGUGCUUCUAGAGUGCACAUGUGGAGCACAGCUGGAGUAUUAACAGCAACAGAAUAAUGCCUGCAGGUUAGUUUUAUUUCUAAAAAAACAUUUUGGAUCUGCUCCUCGGGGAUGGGACUGACUUUUUGUUCUGGGUUUGUGCAGUGCCUAGCACAGAGGGGUCCUGGUUUACAACUGGAGUCCCAGUUGUGCUACUGCAAUAUAAAUAGUACCAGUCCCCUUGUUCUGAAUAGAAAUCACUGCAGAGGUGGUGAACGGUGUGAAUCGCUCCCAGAGUGCAGACGGGAAAGGCAUGUGAAAGUGUGAACCCCACAACUGGAUUUUCAGUGUCUGGACACUCAGUCAUGUCCUACAGAUUUGCUUGGGUGUUUGGAGUAGCUUAUACCCUCCCCAUCCAGAGUCCUGUGGGGUCGGCGAGGAAGGGAGGAGAGAUGCUGCUAGAACUAGAGCUGACUGGAAGAUGACAAUUUUGUUUCGUGUCGACUUCUGAGGUUUUGAAAUGUGGGUUUCUGCCACGUUGGAAUGAAACCAAACCCUUCCCAAUGUUUCUGCAAAAAUUAAGCUGUGUUGAAAUAUCCGUUUUUGAAUCAAAACCUGCAUGUGGGGAAGGGGUGGGGGCGGGUUCUGGCUUGCAGGGCGGAAGAGGGCAGUUCAAGUCCCUGCUCCCCAUAACCACCUGACUGUAGCGUGGGAGAGAAUGUGUCUCUCACACCCAAAAACGUCACUGAAGCCAGUAUGCCUCUGCAAACUGUCCGUUUCGACAGGAAGACCAUUUUGGCAAAAUUUCAUUUAGACAAAAAAAUUCCAACCAGCUCUAGUUCUGUCCUACCCCUGGCCAGCAGGGAGCAGUGGAAGUCAUGUGGAUCCAUGUACCGUUUACCACCUCCAGAGCUGAACCAGCCAGACUCUGCAACAUUUGGAUUUUGGUAAAUUGCGUUCCUUCCAGUACAGAA